rnacentral:rRNA from 1 species
AUUGAACGCUGGCGGCAGGCCUAACACAUGCAAGUCGGGCGAGCGGCGUACGGGUGAGUAAUGUAUGGGGAUCUGCCUGAUGGAGGGGGAUAACUACUGGAAACGGUAGCUAAUACCGCAUACCAUCAGAUGAACCCAUAUGGGAUUAGCUUGUGGGUGAGGUAACGGCUCACCUAGGCGACGAGCCCUAGCUGGUCUGAGAGGAUGAUCAGCAACACUGGAACUGAGACACGGCCCAGACGCCUACGGGAGGAAGCAGUGGGGAAUAUUGCACAAUGGGCGAAAGCCUGAUGCAGCCAUGCCGCGUGUAUGAAGAAGGCCUUCGGGUUGUAAAGUACUUUCAGUGGGGAGGCGUUACCGACAGAAGAAGCACCGGCUAACUCCGUGCCAGCAGCCGCGGUAAUAC